UCAAAUUAUUUUCUAGAAGUGACUUUUUUGUGAAUUUUCGAUCCAAAACCGAAUCAAAAUGCUCGAAACUGGAUACGACAAUUGAAUGCCAGCUGACUGUAUGUGAUUGGUCGGAGAUUUGGACAGUACUCGCGUGUAUAUGCCCAUGCACGCAGCUGUAUAUGCAUGUACUAGCACUAUGACC